GGGGAUGGGGCUUAGUGGCAUAGCACCUGCCUGAUAAGCAUGAGGCUCUCAGUUUCAUUCCUA
rnacentral:tRNA from 1 species